GGGGCCGUAGCUCAACCGGUUAGAGUGCUUCCCUGUCACGGAAGAGGUUGCGGGUUCGAGUCCCGUCGGCCCCG
rnacentral:tRNA from 1 species